rnacentral:lncRNA from 1 species
UAUCUAUAUAAAUUUAAAUAAACACGAGUUUAUAUUAUUAUCAUUAUUAUUAUUAUUAUUAUUGAUAAUUCCACCAAGGUCAACUUUGCCUUUCAUCAUUUUGGAGUCGAUAAAAUAGGUACCAGUUGUACACUGGGGUUAAUGUAAUCGACUCAUCCCCUCCCACCAAAUUGCUGCCCCUGUGGCAAAAUUUGAGACCAUUAUUAUUAUUAUUAAUUCCUACAUAUACCUUCACCAUUCUGGUUGCUUGGAACCCUGCAUUGGAUGUUCCGAGGGCAUUUGGAUGCUUAACUGGAAUGAAUCAUUAGGGAACACAAUAUUGCAUUAAGUUACAAAAAAACUAU